GGAAGGAUCAUUAAUGUACCUCAUCCACCUCUGUUGUCAGGAGGUUCUCGCUAUUUAAAGUGGUAUAGACCUCUUGACAACAAAGCACCAGUGAAAUGUUAAAGUCCUUGACAGCAUGGCAAGAACCCUUUCAUGCCAGUGCUGUCGGAAAGCACCUCUGUAAACACUUAGACUAAAACUUAAUGAGUUGAUUUUAUUUUUUUCUUUUUUUUCUCCUCGAAAGAAGGGAAGAGAAGAGAGUAAGUAACUUCAGCGCGAAAAAUCAUUAAAUUAGACACAACUUUUAACAACGGAUAUCUAGGUUCUCGCAACGAUGAAGAGCGCAGCGAAAUGCGAUACGUAGUGUGAAUUGCAGAAUUCAGUGAAUCAUCGAAACCUUGAACGCACCUUGCGCUUGUGGUCACCCACAAGCAUGCCUGUUUGAGUGUCGUUUUACAUUCUCAUUCUAAUCCAACUCCUUUUGUGUUUUGGACUUCAGCAAUGGAUUUGAGUGUUAGUGGAAAUUCUUUUUUCUACCAUCGCUUUAAAACAAAUGGGUGGGAAAAAUGAUAAAGUGGCACACUUUAGUGCUCUAGUACUCUUUGCACUCCCCAGUUGCGUUUUAAAUUCUCCAUGGUACGUCCUGGAAAUUACUCGCAUACAUCUGUGGUUGCAUUUUGCUUAGAAAUAACGAGACUUCAAGGCCUCGGUUUUGAAGAAGAGUAUUGACGCAUUGUGUAUUGCUGAAAUUACGUUCUCUCCUUUAAAAAUUUUUUAUAAACUUUUUGCGACCUCAAAUCAGGCAAGAUUACCCGCUGAAUUCAAGCAUAUAAAUAAGCGGAGGAAAAGAAACUAACCAGGAUUCCCGUAGUAACUGCGAGUGAAGUGGGAAAAGCUCAAGCUUUAAAUCUGCAAGGGUCUCCCUUGCCGAAUUGUAGUUUCGCGAACGGCAUUUACGGACAGUCCGCUCCAGUGUAAGUCCUCUGGAAAGAGGCGCCAUAGAGGGUGAGAGCCCCGUACACAACUGGAUUGCAAUAAAAGGGCUGUCAACACGUACUGCUAAUUCGCAGAGUCGGGCUGUUUGGGAGUACAGCUCUAAGUGCGUGGUAAGUUCCAUGUAAAGCUAAAUAAGGGCGAGAGACCGAUAGCGAACAAGUACCGUGAGGGAAAGAUGCAAAGAACUUUGAAAAGAGAGUUAAAAGUGCUUGAAAUUGUUAAAAGGGAAGCAAUUGGAGUCAGUGAAUGGUUUCUAUCAACUCAUUCGGACCAGGGGGGCUGGUACGAGGUAGGUUUGAGCAAUCCUCUGUGGUUGUCAUCCUAUUUCUGCCUGGCUUUUUUGGGUCGAAGCAUUUUGGUAGAGACCGAGUCAGCAUCAGCUAGGGGCAGAGUAAAAGGACUGUGAUGAGGUGACAUGGUGGAGCUCCUUGUGGGUUUCAUUGUGUGUUAUACAUUGCGGUAGAUACUCUGCCCAUCUGGCUGAGGCGUCUUUAGAGACGUGAAUGGGUGCCUCUUUUGGCUGGACAUAGUUAUCCUCUGCGGUUUGUCAAAGAGAGAGACAGCAUGCUGUGUCUUUUAUUGGCAGGUUGUACUAGGGUAGCUGUCGCAUACCCAUUAGAGAUGCUGACCAGACGGCCCCAACUGUCCCGUCUUGAAACACGGACCAAGGAGUCUAACAUAUAUGCGAGUGCUUGGGUGACAAACCUAGACGCGUAAUGAAAGUAAAGGAAGGUUUGACCUUCUGAGGUGGGAAGUGCUUCCUUCGAGGAGGUACCGCACCAUCGACCGAUCUGGAUAUUUUUGGAUAGAUUUGAGUAAGAGCAUAUCUGUUGGGACCCGAAAGAUAGCGAACUAUGCCCGCAUAGGGUGAAGCCAGACGAAAGUCUGGUGGAGGCUCGUAGCGAUACUGACGUGCAAAUCGUUCGUCAAAUGUGGGUAUAGCGGCGAAAGACUAAUCGAGCUGUCUAGUAGCUGGUUCCCUC
rnacentral:misc_RNA from 1 species